AUGGCCGGUUCUCAUAUCAUUGUAUGGGGACUCAUCUGCGGACAAAUACAAUGUUUGUUUCGGGGACCCGCGUUGGAGAUGCCUUUAGAUUCUUCCAUGGCACUUGCUGCAUUAUCCAAUGACUCUGAGUCGUUCUGCUUAUGGCCGCCUCGUUGCAAAAUUAAGAGGCUUAUGUUGCAUCGGGAGUUUAUUCCAUCUAAGCUUGGAAGAGAGCAAAAUAGCUUCCUAGAGAGCAAAUAUCCCAUCUCUUUGAGGCGUCAGAAAGAGAUGGGGACGCAUAGGCUCAAAAUUGAGGAGGAGCAUCGGGCGACAAAUGAACAGAUAGCCGAGGAGAACGGUUCAUCAUGCUAG
rnacentral:rRNA from 1 species